UACGGAGGGUGCGAGCGUUGUCCGGAAUCACUGGGCGUAAAGAGCGCGCAGGCGGUCGUUCAAGUCGCGUGUGAAAGCCCCCGGCUCAACUGGGGAGGGUCACGCGAUACUGAUCGACUCGAAGGCAGGAGAGGGAAGUGGAAUUCCCGGUGUAGUGGUGAAAUGCGUAGAUAUCGGGAGGAACACCAGUGGCGAAGGCGACUUCCUGGCCUGUUCUUGACGCUGAGGCGCGAAAGCUAGGGGAGCAAACGGG
rnacentral:rRNA from 1 species